rnacentral:rRNA from 1 species
UACGUAGGUGGCAAGCGUUGUUCGGAAUUACUGGGCGUAAAGCGAGUGUAGGUGGUUGUCAUAGUCAGGCGUGAAAGCCUUGAGCUCAACUCAAGAAAUGCGCUUGAUACUGGGCAGCUAGAGGACCGGAGAGGAUAGUGGAAUUCCCAGUGUAGUGGUGAAAUACGUAGAGAUUGGGAAGAACACCAGUGGCGAAGGCGGCUAUCUGGACGGUUUCUGACACUAAGACUCGAAAGCGUGGGGAGCAAACAGG